UUGAACGCUGGCGGCAGGCCUAACACAUGCAAGUCGAGCGGUAGAGAGGUGCUUGCAUCUCUUGAGAGCGGCGGACGGGUGAGUAAUGCCUAGGAAUCUGCCUGGUGGUGGGGGAUAACGUUCGGAAACGGACGCUAAUACCGCAUACGUCCUACGGGAGAAAGCGGGGGAUCUUCGGACCUCGCGCCAUUAGAUGAGCCUAGGUCGGAUUAGCUAGUUGGUGAGGUAAUGGCUCACCAAGGCGACGAUCCGUAACUGGUCUGAGAGGAUGAUCAGUCACACUGGAACUGAGACACGGUCCAGACUCCUACGGGAGGCAGCAGUGGGGAAUAUUGGACAAUGGGCGAAAGCCUGAUCCAGCCAUGCCGCGUGUGUGAAGAAGGUCUUCGGAUUGUAAAGCACUUUAAGUUGGGAGGAAGGGCAGUUACCUAAUACGUGAUUGUUUUGACGUUACCGACAGAAUAAGCACCGGCUAACUCUGUG
rnacentral:rRNA from 1 species